rnacentral:rRNA from 1 species
CCCUUAGAUGUUCUGGGCUGCACGCGCGCUACACUGAUGCGCUCAACGAGUUUUAACCUUGCCUGGAAAGGUUGGGUAAUCUUUUUAAAACGCAUCGUGAUGGGGAUAGAUUAUUGCAAUUAUUAGUCUUGAACGAGGAAUUCCUAGUAAGCACAAGUCAUCAGCUUGUGUUGAUUACGUCCCUGCCCUUUGUACACACCGCCCGUCGCUCCUACCGAUUGAAUGUUCCGGUGAGCUCUUCGGACUGCGCGGUCUGCAGUUUCUGCGUUCCGUGCGGAAAGUUGCGCAAACCUUAACAUUUAGAGGAAGGAGAAGUCGUAACA